CGCGGCCUAUCAGCUUGUUGGUGAGGUAACGGCUCACCAAGGCAUCGACGGGUAGCUGGUCUGAGAGGACGAUCAGCCACACUGGGACUGAGACACGGCCCAGACUCUUACGGGAGGCAGCAGUAGGGAAUCUUGCGCAAUGGGCGAAAGCCUGACGCAGCAACGCCGCGUGGGGGAUGAAUGCCUUCGGGUUGUAAACCCCUUUCAGCAGGGACGAAAAUGACGGUACCUGCAGAAGAAGCUCCGGCCAACUACGUGCCAGCAGCCGCGGUAAUACGUAGGGAGCGAGCGUUGUCCGGAAUUAUUGGGCGUAAAGAGCUCGUAAGCGGUUCAGUAAGUCGGGUGUGAAAACUCAAGGCUCAACCUUGAGACGCCACUCGAUACUGCUGUGACUUGAGUCCGGUAGAGGAGUGUGGAAUUCCUGGUGUAGCGGUGAAAUGCGCAGAUAUCAGGAGGAACACCAGCGGCGAAGGCAGCACUCUGGGCCGGUACUGACGCUGAGGAGCGAAAGCGUGGGGAGCAAACAGGAUUAGAUACCCUGGUAGUCCACGCCGUAAACGUUGGGCACUAGGUGUGGGUCCCAUCCAACGGGAUCCGCGCCGCAGCUAACGCAUUAAGUGCCCCGCCUGGGGAGUACGG
rnacentral:rRNA from 1 species